GUGAAAACAAAGAGUUUAUUCACUAAAAAUGACUUUUAGUGCUUUUAUAACUCAGUUGCAAAAUUGAAAAAAAAAACACCCAAUACUUAGCAUUCAGCAGAAGUAAUUAACAUUAAAACACCGUAUUAAUCAUAAAUACCAUAGACAGUCACCUAGUUCCUUAUACUGGCGAAGUGGCCAUUAAAAGCAAAUGUGUUAUGUUUCAAAUGUGAAAUCAUUUGGUCUGGACACCACUUUGUGGUAGCAUGUGGUAUUGCAAGCAAUAAAAAAAGCCUAAGAUGCAAUGGAGUCAUCUUCAAAUUCUCAGUAUUUCCAUAUUAUAAAAUGCAAUACUGUACAAGCAAAAAGUGUCUCACAACAGUUCUAUUUUCUGGGCAAAAGUGCAAGGGACGACUAUUCUGCAAAACCCUGAAAACUGAUUAUUAUUAAAAAAAAAAAAAAAAAUUUUAAUUGUGUGUAGCAAACUCAGAUUGACAUUUCCACAUAUAUUAUU